rnacentral:rRNA from 1 species
UUGGAGAGUUUGAUCCUGGCUCAGAUUGAACGCUGGCGGCAGGCUUAACACAUGCAAGUCGAGCGGUAGCACAGGGGAGCUUGCUCCCUGGGUGACGAGCGGCGGACGGGUGAGUAAUGUCUGGGAAACUGCCUGAUGGAGGGGGAUAACUACUGGAAACGGUAGCUAAUACCGCAUAACGUCGCAAGACCAAAGAGGGGGACCUUCGGGCCUCUUCCAUCAGAUGUGCCCAGAUGGGAUUAGCUAGUAGGUGGGGUAAUGGCUCACCUAGGCGACGAUCCCUAGCUGGUCUGAGAGGAUGACCAGCCACACUGGAACUGAGACACGGUCCAGACUCCUACGGGAGGCAGCAGUGGGGAAUAUUGCAGAAUGGGCGCAAGCCUGAUGCAGCCAUGCCGCGUGUGUGAAGAAGGCCU